GGCCCAAAUUUGAAGUAGAGAUGAUUAGAAGGUUCAUCUGGCCCUACUAAACAGCUCUACUUCGAGUUUGUGCCC
rfam:Haemonchus placei strain MHpl1 genome assembly, scaffold: HPLM_scaffold0002014